GACGAACGCUGGCGGCGUGCUUAACACAUGCAAGUCGAACGGAAAGGCCCUGCUUUUGUGGGGUGCUCGAGUGGCGAACGGGUGAGUAACACGUGAGUAACCUGCCCUUGACUUUGGGAUAACUUCAGGAAACUGGGGCUAAUACCGGAUAGGAGCUCCUGCUGCAUGGUGGGGGUUGGAAAGUUUCGGCGGUUGGGGAUGGACUCGCGGCUUAUCAGCUUGUUGGUGGGGUAGUGGCUUACCAAGGCUUUGACGGGUAGCCGGCCUGAGAGGGUGACCGGCCACAUUGGGACUGAGAUACGGCCCAGACUCCUACGGGAGGCUGCAGUGGGGAAUAUUGCACAAUGGGCGGAAGCCUGAUGCAGCAACGCCGCGUGCGGGAUGACGGCCUUCGGGUUGUAAACCGCUUUCGCCUGUGACGAAGCGUGAGUGACGGUAAUGGGUAAAGAAGCACCGGCUAGCUACGUG
rnacentral:rRNA from 1 species